UCUGUUGUUAGGGAAGAACAAGUGCUAGUUGAAUAAGCUGGCACCUUGACGGUACCUAACCAGAAAGCCACGGCUAACUACGUGCCAGCAGCCGCGGUAAUACGUAGGUGGCAAGCGUUAUCCGGAAUUAUUGGGCGUAAAGCGCGCGCAGGUGGUUUCUUAAGUCUGAUGUGAAAGCCCACGGCUCAACCGUGGAGGGUCAUUGGAAACUGGGAGACUUGAGUGCAGAAGAGGAAAGUGGAAUUCCAUGUGUAGCGGUGAAAUGCGUAGAGAUAUGGAGGAACACCAGUGGCGAAGGCGACUUUCUGGUCUGUAACUGACACUGAGGCGCGAAAGCGUGGGGAGCAAACAGGAUUAGAUACCCUGGUAGUCCACGCCGUAAACGAUGAGUGCUAAGUGUUAGAGGGUUUCCGCCCUUUAGUGCUGAAGUUAACGCAUUAAGCACUCCGCCUGGGGAGUACGGCCGCAAGGCUGAAACUCAAAUGAAUUGACG
rnacentral:rRNA from 1 species